GAGAGUAAGGGCGCACGGUGGAUGCCUUGGCACUAGGAGCCGAAGAAGGACGUGACAAACGACGAAAUGCCUCGGGGAGCUGUAAGUAAGCGCUGAUCCGGGGAUGUCCGAAUGGGGGAACCCAACAGGUACUACCUGUUACCCAUCUCUGUUAAGGAGAUGAGGAGGAAGACGCAGUGAACUGAAACAUCUAAGUAGCUGCAGGAAGAGAAAGCAAAAGCGAUUGCCUUAGUAGCGGCGAGCGAAACGGCAGGAGGGCAAACCGAAGAGUUUACUCUUCGGGGUUGUAGGACUGCAAUGUGGACUCAGAUUUUAUAGAAGAAUGACAUGGGAAGGUCAGCCAAAGAGAGUAAGAGCCUCGUAUUUUAAAUAGAAUCUGUACCUAGCAGAAUCCUGAGUACGGCGGGACACGUGAAAUCCCGUCGGAAUCUGGGAGGACCAUCUCCCAACCCUAAAUACUCCCUAGUGACCGAUAGUGAACCAGUACCGUGAGGGAAAGGUGAAAAGUACCCCGGGAGGGGAGUGAAAUAGUACCUGAAACCGUGUGCUUACAAUCCGUCAGAGCCUCUUUUGUGGGGUGAUGGCGUGCCUUUUGAAGAAUGAGCCUGCGAGUUAGUGAUGCGUGGCGAGGUUAACCCGUGGUGGGGGAGUCGUAGCGAAAGCGAGUCCGAUAAGGGCGUGAGUCGCGUGUUCUAGACCCGAAGCGGUGUGAUCUAUCCAUGGCCAGGAUGAAGCGUCGGUAAGACGUCGUGGAGGUCCGAACCCACUUCAGUUAAAAAUGGAGGGGAUGAGUUGUGGAUAGGGGUGAAAGGCCAAUCAAACACCGUGAUAGCUGGUUCUCCCCGAAAUGCAUUUAGGUGCAGCGUUGCGUGGUUCUUGUUGGAGGUAGAGCACUGGAUGGUCUAGGGGGCUUAUCGGCUUACCGAAAUCAGCCAAACUCCGAAUGCUGGCAAGUGUAGCGUGGCAGUGAGACGGCGGGGGAUAAGCUUCGUCGUCGAGAGGGAAACAACCCAGACCACCGACUAAGGCCCCUAAGCGUGUGCUAAGUGGGAAAGGAUGUGGAGUUGCAUAGACAACCAGGAGGUUGGCUUAGAAGCAGCCACCCUUGAAAGAGUGCGUAAUAGCUCACUGGUCAAGU
rnacentral:rRNA from 1 species